GAUGAACGCUGGCGGCGUGCCUAAUACAUGCAAGUCGAGCGAACAGAUGAGGAGCUUGCUCCUCUGACGUUAGCGGCGGACGGGUGAGUAACACGUGGAUAACCUACCUAUAAGACUGGGAUAACUUCGGGAAACCGGAGCUAAUACCGGAUAAUAUUUUGAACCGCAUGGUUCAAUAGUGAAAUACGGUUUUGCUGUCACUUAUAGAUGGAUCCGCGCCGCAUUAGCUAGUUGGUAAGGUAACGGCUUACCAAGGCAACGAUGCGUAGCCGACCUGAGAGGGUGAUAGGCCACACGGGAACUGAGACACGGUACAGACACCUACGGGAGGCAGCAGUAGGGAAUAUUCCGCAAUGGGCGAAAGCAUGACGGAGCAACGCCGCGUGAGUGAUGAAGGUCUUCGGAUCGUAAAACUCUGUUAUUAGGGAAGAAAAAAUGUGUAGGUAAAUAUGCACGUCUUGACGGUAACUAAUCAGAAAGCAACGGCUAACUACGUG
rnacentral:rRNA from 1 species